UCGCUCUCUGACUCUGAAUAAAAAUCGCAGUUUAUAAUACGUAUUGGGAACACUGAUACGAUUGGGAACCGUAGAAUUUGUAUAUAGAUGCCAUUACGCCAAUGCAAAAUGGGUUACACACUUUAAUACACUUGAUCCAAUUUUGAUUGGGGCUAUGGUCUACAUUUCGUAGACCAUAGCCCCGUAUAAAAUGGGCCAAGUAUAAAAUUGGCCAAGUAUAAAAUGGGCUGUGAUAGUUAUAUCAUAGAAUAGGAAGGUAUACCAGAAGUCUCACUCAAGCAAGUAUUUGUCCG